rnacentral:rRNA from 1 species
AGAGCGGCGAAAGGGUGAGUAAUGCAUAGGUAACGUGCCCUGAGCUCGGGGAUAGCCGCGGGAAACCGUGGAUAAUACCCGAUGAGACCACGGUGUCAUAUGGCACAGCGGUCAAAGAUGGGGACCCUUCGGGGCCUAUCGGCUUUGGAGCGGCCUAUGUCCUAUCAGCUUGUUGGUGAGGUAACGGCUCACCAAGGCGACGACGGGUACCGGGACUGAGAGGUUGACCCGGCACAUUGGGACUGAGACACUGCCCAAACUCCUACGGGAGGCUGCAGUCGAGAAUCUUCCCCAAUGGGCGAAAGCCUGAGGGAGCGACGCCGCGUGUGGGAAUAAGCCCUUCGGGGUGUAAACCACUGUCAGGGACCACCAAGCGAUGGGGACAAAUAGUCCCCGGAGUUGAGGAAUCCCAAAGGAAGCCACGGCUAACUUCGUGCCAGCAGCCGCGGUAAGACGAAGGUGGCUAGCGUUGUUCGGAAUCAUUGGGCUUAAAGAGCAUGUAGGCGGCCCAUUAAGCGUCAUGUGAAAUCCCUCGACUCAACCGAGGAACUGCAUGGCGAACUGGUGGGCUUGAGGCAAGUAGAGGCGUGUGGAACUCUUGGUGGAGCGGUGGAAUGCGUAGAUAUCAAGAGGAACGCCGGUGGCGAAGGCGACACGCUGGGCUUGUCCUGACGCUGAGAUGCGAAAGCCAGGGGAGCGAACGGGAUUAGAUACCCCGGUAGUCCUGGCCCUAAACGAUGUCCACUAGGUCGGAGGUUCUCUGACGGAGUUCCGGCCGAAACAAAAGCGUUAAGUGGACCGCCUGGGGAGUACGGUCGCAAGGCUAAAACUCAAAGGAAUUGACGGGGGCUCACACAAGCGGUGGAGCACGUUGCUUAAUUCGAUGCAACGCGAAGAACCUUAUCCUGGGCUUGACAUGUACGGAUGCCUACUGGGAAACCAGGUCGGUUGCCCUUCGGGGUGAAACGUACACAGGUGCUGCAUGGCUGUCGUCAGCUCGUGUCGUGAGAUGUUGGGUUAAGUCCCGUAACGAGCGAAACCCUUGUCGUUACUUGCCAGGGGUUCGCCUGUGGACUCUACCGAGACUGCCGUUGUUAAACCGGAGUAAGG